GGUGUUGUGGCUCAGUGGUCGAGCACUUGUCUAGCAUGUGAGAGGUUCUGGGUUCGAUCCUUAGCACCACAU
rnacentral:tRNA from 1 species